GUUGGGCGCGGUGGCACGUGCCUGUAGUCCCAGCUACUCGGGAGGCUGAGGCUGGAGGAUUGCUUGAGCCCAGGAUUUCUGGGCUGCAGUGUGCUAUGCCAAUCGGGUGUCCGCACUAAGUUCGGCAUCAAUACGGUGACCCUCUGGGAGCAGGGGACCACCAGGUUGCCUAAGGAGGGGUGAACCGGCCCAGGUCGGAAACAGAGCAGGUCAAAACUCCCGUGCUGAUCAGUAAUUGAAAGCAGAGUCUCAAGGUGAUAUUCAUACACCCAUAUUCACAGCAGCAUUAUUCACAACAGCAAAGACAU
rnacentral:SRP_RNA from 1 species